GCCCACACUUCUCUAUAUAAGGUCUCACGCAAAAACCAAGCCAUGAGGUCAGAGGAGCUGCCCGCCGACAGCGCAGAGACAGGAUUGUGGCGAAGCACAGAUCUGGGGAAGGCCACGAAGCAUUUCUGCUGCAUCGAAUGUUCCCAAGAGCACAGCGUUUAUCAAGAGUAAUGGGAUUCACCUGAGCUAAAGAUACAAUGACCAGUGCAGAACAGUGAAAUGUGGCAUACAUCCAUCCAUCGUCCAUUUUCUGCCACUUAUCUGGGGUCGGGUUGCGGUGGCAGCAGGUUUAAGGCAACGCAGCCCAGAUGUCCCUCUUCCCAGCGACGUUUUCCAGCUCCUCCUGGGGGAUCCUGAGGUGUUCCCAGGCCAGAUGAGACAUAUAAGCUCUCCAGCGUGUUGUGGGUCUACCCCGGGGUCUCCUACCAGCUGGACAUGCCCGGAAGACCUCCAGCGGAAGGCGCCCAGGAGGCGUCCUAAGCAGACGCUGGAACCGCCUCUACACCUGCGCCUUGAGAUCCUGCCAAUGUGGCACGUCAUGCUAAAUGCUAGUAUCUUUUAUCUGUUGUAGAAUAGAGGAAAAAGGGAGAACGAAAUAAAACACAAUUCAAACUGUA